rnacentral:rRNA from 1 species
AGUGAACGCUGGCGGUAGGCCUAACACAUGCAAGUCGAACGGCAGCACAGUAAGAGCUUGCUCUUACGGGUGGCGAGUGGCGGACGGGUGAGGAAUACAUCGGAAUCUACUUUUUCGUGGGGGAUAACGUAGGGAAACUUACGCUAAUACCGCAUACGACCUACGGGUGAAGGCAGGGGAUCUUCGGACCUUGGGCGAUUGAAUGAGCCGAUGUCGGAUUAGCUAGUUGGCGGGGUAAAGGCCCACCAAGGCGACGAUCCGUAGCUGGUCUGAGAGGAUGAUCAGCCACACUGGAACUGAGACACGGUCCAGACUCCUACGGGAGGCAGCAGUGGGGAAUAUUGGACAAUGGGCGCAAGCCUGAUCCAGCCAUACCGCGUGGGUGAAGAAGGCCUUCGGGUUGUAAAGCCCUUUUGUUGGGAAAGAAAAGCAGCAGGUUAAUACCCCGCUGUUCUGACGGUACCCAAAGAAUAAGCACCGGCUAACUUCGUG